rnacentral:rRNA from 1 species
UGGGGAAUAUUGCACAAUGGGCGCAAGCCUGAUGCAGCCAUGCCGCGUGUAUGAAGAAGGCCUUCGGGUUGUAAAGUACUUUCAGCGGGGAGGAAGGGAGUAAAGUUAAUACCUUUGCUCAUUGACGUUACCCGCAGAAGAAGCACCGGCUAACUCCGUGCCAGCAGCCGCGGUAAUACGGAGGGUGCAAGCGUUAAUCGGAAUUACUGGGCGUAAAGCGCACGCAGGCGGUUUGUUAAGUCAGAUGUGAAAUCCCCGGGCUCAACCUGGGAACUGCAUCUGAUACUGGCAAGCUUGAGUCUCGUAGAGGGGGGUAGGAUUCCAGGUGUAGCGAUGAAAUGCGUAGAGAUCUGGAGGAAUACCGGUGGCGAAGGCGGCCCCCUGGACGAAGACUGACGCUCAGGUGCGAAAGCGUGGGGAGCAAACAGG